rnacentral:tRNA from 1 species
GCAUCGGCGGUUCAGUGGUAGAAUGCUCGCCUGCCACGCGGGCGGCCCGGGUUCGUUUCCAGGCCGAGCU